CAUUGUUUGGAGGAUGCGUUGUGUGAACCAAUGUAACAGCGGGAUGUUAACGGUGCUACAGUUUUAAUAUCACACCCGAACUGUUACUCACGAGGAUUCACGCGCAUUCCUGGAACUCGUCCGUGGAUUGCAUGUUUUCGUUCCACGCGUGGGUGCAGGAAACGACACGUUCCUGGGAGACGAGAACUUCAUAAAUCCAUGACAGGCGUGUCAACAUGAGUGUGGUGAAAUGGGUACUAAGACCAUAAAUAUACUCAACAAGUUUGUAAAACGGGUGGAUUGCCACCUUCCCAUCGAUGUGCCAUUGAUAUCCUUAAGCAAAACCCAAAAUUGCAGAAGAACUGUGAAAUGUAGCCUAAUCAUCCUGGACUGGAAUACCUGUUCAGAGUUGCCAGAAGUUGGUCGACUCCAUGCAACACAGAUUUUGGAAACAAUUGUUAUGCCACUAAAUAUUAGUUCAGUAAUUCAAAGUAAAGUGAAACUUCAAACAUUUUUUAUGUUAUACAUACAUUUCUUUAGUUUUUAAAGAAAAA